CUAGUAACGGCGAGUGAAGCGGCAACAGCUCAAAUUUGAAAUCUGGCUCUCGGGCCCGAGUUGUAAUUUGUAGAGGAUACUUUUGAUGCGGUGCCUUCCGAGUUCCCUGGAACGGGACGCCAUAGAGGGUGAGAGCCCCGUCUGGUUGGAUGCCAAAUCUCUGUAAAGUUCCUUCAACGAGUCGAGUAGUUUGGGAAUGCUGCUCUAAAUGGGAGGUAUAUGUCUUCUAAAGCUAAAUACCGGCCAGAGACCGAUAGCGCACAAGUAGAGUGAUCGAAAGAUGAAAAGCACUUUGAAAAGAGAGUUAAAAAGUACGUGAAAUUGUUGAAAGGGAAGCGUUUAUGACCAGACUUGGGCUUGGUUAAUCAUCUGGGGUUCUCCCCAGUGCACUUUUCCAGUCCAGGCCAGCAUCAGUUUUCCCCGGGGGAUAAAGGCGGCGGGAAUGUGGCUCUCUUCGGGGAGUGUUAUAGCCCACCGUGUAAUACCCUGGGGGGGACUGAGGUUCGCGCAUCUGCAAGGAUGCUGGCGUAAUGGUCAUCAACGACCCGUCUUGAAACACGGACCA
rnacentral:rRNA from 1 species